rnacentral:rRNA from 1 species
UACGUAGGGUGCAAGCGUUAUCCGGAAUCAUUGGGCGUAAAGCGCGUGUAGGCGGUUCCGUAAGUCCGCUCUGAAAGCCCAGGGCUCAACCCUGGGAGGCGGGUGGAUACUACGGAACUGGAGUACGGAAGAGGAGAUUGGAAUUCCUGGUGUAGCGGUGAAAUGCGCAGAUAUCAGGAGGAACACCGGUGGCGAAGGCGGGUCUCUGGGCCGAUACUGACGCUGAGGAGCGAAAGCGUGGGGAGCGAACAGG